UUCCUACGUUUAAAAAUUGUUUGUUGUUGUUGUGCAUUGGUUUUGUAAAGAAUGUCGAAGACAGAAAAAGAAGAGCUCAGUGAUUAUGAACUCCAAAGACUUGCUAAAAUCAAGCAAAACCUUGAUUUCCUCGAGAAUUUGGGCAAGUGCAUUUUAGCCUUCAUUCGUGAAGCCCAAUGUGUUUAUGUUGGUAUAUUUUUGCGUUUAUAAAGGCAUUGAAGUGGACAGGUCUGCAUAUCUUCCGAAGCAACGAACAAAGAAGAGAAAAUUGACGAAGACAGUAGCAGUGAUGAAGAAUGGUUACCUGGAAAAGAUGAAAAUUUUUUGCUAAAGAAAGUAAAGCCAAUCUUUAAAUCAACAUUUAGAAGCAGUUCCGUCACCAAGAAAUCUUCAAAUAAACAGGCUUCUUCGAAAAAAUUUUGUGCUCCUUCAGCCACGUCAAAUAAUGAUUUUAAUUCAUCUGUUGAUGACAAUUCAAU